UUGUCCUACGGGGCGCAGCAGUGAGGAAUAUUGGUCAAUGGGCGCGAGCCUGAACCAGCCAAGUAGCGUGAAGACUGACUGCCCUACGGGUUGUAAACUUCUUUUAUAAAGGAAUAAAGUGAGGCACGUGUGCCUUUUUGUAUGUACUUUAUGAAUAAGGAUCGGCUAACUCCGUGCCAGCAGCCGCGGUAAUACGGAGGAUCCGUUCGUUAUCCGUAUUUAUUGUGUUUAAUGGGAGCGUAGAUGGUUUGUUAAGU
rnacentral:rRNA from 1 species